AACAUGUCCUUUAGGUAUUUAUUUAAGGUCUGACCUGCCCAAUGAGGAAUUCAAUGGCCGCGGUAUUCUAACCGUGCUAAGGUAGCAUAAUCAUUUGUCUUUUAAUUGAGGGCUGGAAUGAAAGGUUGGACGAGGUAUCAUCUUUCUUUAAUUUAAUUAAUAGAACUUAAUUUUUGAGUCAAAAAGCUUAAAUUUUUUUAUUAGACGAGAAGACCCUAUAGAUCUUUACAGUCUUAGUAUUCAGGUAAUUUAGGGGUUUAUUUAUUUUGAUUAUUAUGAUUGUUUUGUUGGGGUGACAUUGGAAUAUUUUUAGCUUCCAUUUUUCUUUUUCAUUAAUUAGUGUUUUAGUGAUCCAUAAUUUAUGAUUAUAAGAUUAAGUUACCUUAGGGAUAACAGCGUAAUUUCUUCGGAGAGUUCAUAUCGAUGAUGAAGUUUGCGACCUCGAUGUUGGAUUAAAAUUAGGGGCAGAUGUAGCAGUCUGUUUACUGGGUCUGUUCGACCCUUAAAUUUUUACAUGAUCUGA
rnacentral:rRNA from 1 species